UCGACCAUUGGAGAGAGGGGCCUGGCAGCCUGGUUGACUCCUCUUCGUCCAAUGCCCUCCGGUGCCGCGCACGACGUGUUCCUGCAGCCGCCAAAACCUAGCAGCGCCUGAAAAAAAUCCCCUCCACCGCCGCACCCUCUCCUCUCCUCCUCUCUCUUCCGCCUCCCUCCACCUUCCCGGCUCUCCACCACACAUCGGUAGUAAGAUGGCGGUGGCGCCGGCAGCGAGCAUGGGAGCGACAGUAGCGCCUGGACGCCAUGAGCUAGCUGAGGUGGUCGAUGGUGAGGAACGGUUGCGCUCAACGUCGUCCUCCAACCCAUGGCUGCCGGCGCAACCAAAUCGGCCAUGGCAAGGAAGGCCGAGAUCUGGGACGGUGCGCCUUGACCUCGCCUUCCUCUUCCACCCCCAGUCCCCCACCGACUGCCACCAAGCACGGAGGUAGAUGCGGCUACGCAGUGGCAGUGGCUCAUCUCUCCUCUUCGUCUCAUGGAUGAUAGCAUCGGCUGCAGCUUGAGGUGUGGAAGGGGACUUCCUCAAGAAUCUUGCCGAAGAUCUGAUGAUGAAGGAAAGCAUUACCAAAAUCCCCUGAUCGAACGGGAUUUGGCCAUAACGGCCGGGAAAAGAAGCCUGGCGCCUGGCCUAAGCGUCGGCGUUGUAGAUGCCUUGAAGAAGAUCAAGGCCAAAAAGGCGGAGAGGAGUCGUGGAUCCUUUUGGCUAUGGCUGCUGGUUGCAGACAUUAUUUAAGCACAGGAAUCACAAAAGUUGUGCCCCAGGAGGCCAGCAACCCCCAUGUGGCCAGCGACUAAAGGCCAGAUUCAUUUUCAUGGAAGUUGUCUGUUGUUUCUUAUUUGAAGGCUAUCUUUAGCUUGGACGAAAAUGAAUGGACGAGCUUCAAUCUGACGAGGAGAAAGCAAUGUUGUUCAGUUUUAAUUAAAACAGAUGGACAACCAUGUAAAAGGUAAAGAUGUUUAUGGAAGAAUAAACACCACUCAGACUAGCGAGUUCCAACUUGUUUUUUCUAGGGGGCAUUAGCAAAAUAUAAAUGUGAAUAUGACAGUACAUAUUUUAUGAUAUUUGACUGUAUGUCAUCACCUAAAUUUAUACUAAUCCAGCGGAAUAACCCAACAACCAUUUAGAUUAUGCUUCUUUCAACCAAAUUACUUAUUGACAUGUAUAUUUAUUAAGAUCAAUAAUGUCGUGUAUUUUACUUUGAAGUAUAAACGAACAUGAAAAUAUGAGAUAGUGGCCUCCUACUAGGAUAAUAACAGCAAAAAAGAUCAAUGCAAUGCACAUAUCUGAGGAUUUUUAUCCGCAGGUUGGGAUUCUGUAUAUUGAUACGAUGUAUAAGAAAGAAAUGAUUUAUUUACUUAUUGGAGAUUAGCCUUUUAGUAUAGUACUGGUUUCCAGCAAAAAAAAGUAUAUGAUUGUGAUACUUCAAGAUAUUCAUGAAAACAAGUACUCCCUCCAUCCCAAAAUACUGGUCAUCAAAAUGGAUAAAAAGGGAUGUAUUUAGAACUAAAAUACGUCUACAUACAUCUCGUUUUAUCCAUUUUGAUGACAAGUAUUUCCGGACGGAGGGAGUAUUUGAUAUGUUCACAUCUAUAUAACUACAUGCUCAUGUGUGUUUCAUCUUUUUCAUGAUCAAAUAAAGAUAUAUGUGUGGUUUCUGAUAUGUGCCGAGCAUGUUUUGGUAGGAUAUUUUCUAUGGUAAUGUUGAAAUAAAGAUAUAUUGCUUUUAAGAAAGGAGCACUAUGAAGUAUUGAAGCGAGCUGAAUAAUGUAGAAAAUAUCACAGAAUGAAACAUUAGCUGGUGUCAUCCAAACACCAUUCUGUACCUUCAGCAGUAAUGGAUCAUUCGCUUUGCUUGGUCAACCUUGCAACUAAAUCUGUAAGAUGACUUUGAAGUUUACUCUGUACCUAACAAAAAAAUCAUCCAUUUUUUAUUGAUCAGACAACAGUUGUUUUAUGUCUAUGUGUCUUUUUAUUGUUCUUAUAUGUUACAAGUUCAAAGGAGAGCAUUGUUUCAUGGAAGCAUGGGAUAACACCCGCGCCAGCGACCAGUGAAGAAAGGGGCUCAUGAACAAGAUGAAUUUUUUUCAACCAUCUUUUGUUUAUAUGGAAAGACGCUUUUGUUAAAUCAAUCUUAUCGACUUUAGUCUGUGUUAUUGUAUUCUAUCUCUUCUAUUAGAUCCAAAUUAUUAUACGAUGUAAUUGACCACUCUUACUAAGAACUGUGCACCGUGCUUAAUGCUAUCAUUAUUUUAAGUAA